rnacentral:rRNA from 1 species
UACGGGGGGGGCAAGCGUUGUUCGGAAUUACUGGGCGUAAAGGGCUCGUAGGCGGCCAACUAAGUCGGACGUGAAAUCCCCAGGCUCAACCUGGGAACUGCGUCCGAUACUGGAUGGCUUGAAUCCGGGAGAGGGAUGCAGAAUUCCAGGUGUAGCGGUGAAAUGCGUAGAUAUCUGGAGGAAUACCGGUGGCGAAGGCGGCAUCCUGGACCGGCAUUGACGCUGAGGAGCGAAAGCUAGGGGAGCAAACAGG